CUGCCAGGGAACAGAGAACCACUGCUAAGGUGCGAUAUUCUGACAACACCUGAUGAGUCCAAGAGACAUGGAGACAUUUUGCCUGAAGUUGCCAGCCCAAGGGAGGGAUGAGACCAUGCUGUCUGGAAGAGCUAAACACGUCUGCACUUCAUGGGGAGCCUAAUGAAGGACUCUCCAUCUACCUGCCAUCACAGCAAGUGCCACAUCAGGCAAAAUUUGCAGCUACCAGCUACAGCUCCACAUCCAACCUCCAUCCCACAAACCCAAGGAGAAAACUAUCCUUGCUCCAUAAUGGGCAGAAGCACCCAGAUCUCAGUAAUCUGUCUUCUGCCUCCUGCAAGCUUUGAAGAUACAAGAUGCAGAGGAGGAUCCCUCCACAGUUCAGAUAAGUUUUUCUGUGAUUGCGGAUCCUUCAACAAUCCUGCCAUCAGGACACGUGAAAUGCUUUACAGGGCCUGCCCAACCCUCCUCCCAGCCCAGCAUCUCCAACCAUGGCAGCAGGACAUCCCAUCCUGGUGUGACAGAUGCAGUCCUCCUAUCUGAGCUGAACUCUGGACCAGGCAGGUGCACAGCACGUAAGCCUAACUGAAGGUAAUCCUACUGUGUGAGGCUAUCAGUGAGAACUCAGCAUCAAAACCCAAACCCACCUUGUUUGGCUGGAGACUGGGCUGAUAAGCAUCCAACUGUAUAAACACAGUACAAAAAACUGUAUAAACACAAUAGGAAACCUAUCUACAAAUUAACUACUUGGCGCUGUAAGUAUCUAGAGGCAUUAAGGCCCAUGGACCUCUCCCUCCUAGCAGCUGGCUGAGCAGCAGGCAUCUCCCCAGGAAUAGGGCCACCUCUCAAGGCUGAGAGAUCCCUUACCUGACAGCAAACUUCUACAGGUUGCAGGCCUGCUGUCAUCAGAAAAAGAGUGAAGAGCCUGAAGGAUACAUACAUGAAGAGCUCCACCAGCAGUCUGCCAGUGAAUCACACUCUGGGAUCUAACCAAAGCCAUCUCAAUUGUACACAGGCUCUGUUCACACAUUACAACCAAUUACAUAAAAACAUUAAGAGGUAAAACCAUUAGCAUUGGUCAAACCAACCAAGCCUCAAGCACUGAGGAGAAGCAUACCCUGCUCUCCACCUGAGAGCUGCCAGGCAUCCUGGGUUCAAUUCUAUUGAUUUUAUCUGCAGUCUGGAUUUUGUAAGACUACCUUCAUAAGCCUAGCCUGCCACAAACAUAAACCAGACUACCCAUAUAUCUCUAUGCUGCAGUUCAUCCAUUUUCAACAGCUCAAAUAAUGUGGGUGGAAAAUAUUCCUUCUGUGCUCAACAGCUGACCAGAGAACCACCUACAGCUAGAACAGACACAGCUGCUGUGGGCAGAGCCGCAACCCAACUUGUGAGUUGAAGCUUUGUAUAAUACGGACUUUGGCUACCAGAAUAAGUGAAAACACAAUUGAAAAAAACAUUUAAUCACAAUGAUAAGGCUCUAACCCAUUUUUCCAAGAGGCCUUUGGCUACUUUACCAUUUGUCUAGGCUUUUCUCCCUGUUUCAGGGCUAGACAGGCUCUACCUCCUCACCUCUCCCCAUGUCAUGACAUGGAUGACUACUGAAGUUCCUUGGUCAACUUCCCAGAAGUUUACAUCACUUGACAAAGUGCCCAUGAGAAACAGCUUUGGUCAGAAAAUGGAAAAUGGGAAGCCACUGGACCAAGGACUAAGACUGGUAAAGGGAUCUGCUGUCACUUGCUGCUUCCCAAGGGUCAAGGUUCCUUCUCCUGCUUGUCCCAAUGGACAUGGCAACCCUUUUGUUCACAGAUAUAUUGAGAGUCUAACAAGCUGACAUUUUCCACUUCAUCUUUCUUAAGAAUAGAUUUCAGUAACAAUUCUUCUUAAACAUUUUGUAUAAUUAGCAGCUCAUGUUAUCUCUGUAUUAUACAUGGAAAAAUGAUGAUGGAAACAAGACAAAGGGACUUUUUCUCACCUAUGAUGCCAGUGCUCCAGUCACACUGCCCUUCUGUAAAGCAAAUGCUGAUCCCAGCCAUCCUACGGCCAUGCAAGCUUCUCUCUACAGCUCUCAGGAGCUCCCUAAAAUUACUCUAGAGAAAUGUCUCUAUUGCAAUCUAUAAAAACAAGACUUAGAAGAUAAACUACUCAUGCUUCCAGGAGCCUUACGGAAUUACUGACACAAGCUCUCACAAGCGCUGUGCUGAUGCUCUCUGGAAAUGGUUAAGCAACUGCCAUGAAUGAACACUUUAAACCUUUUGCUGACAUUCAAAAUUAAAGCAGCUCAGACAGGUAAAAGGCACAGAACUAAAAAAAUAAAUAAAUCUAUAUUAAGGAAAUCGGUGCAGGUAACAAACUGUGUGUACAGGAAACGAGGAUGGUUAAUUCUUCCACAAUUGUUACACAGGGAAAAUCAUCAUUUUUCUCACAUCACAACUCCAGAUUGUAAAUUUUAAGACGUGCUUUUGGGUUGGUUUGUUUUUU